GCCUAACCGUAAACAAUUAACUCACACCAACCAACGCCAGGGAAUUACGAGCUAUGCUUAAAACCCAAAGGACUUGACGGUGUCCCACCCACCUAGAGGAGCCUGUUCUAUAAUCGAUGAUCCCCGAUACACCUAACCAUUCCUCGCCCAUCAGUCUGUAUACCUCCGUCGAAAGCCUACCAUGUGAACGCUUACAGUAGGCCCAAUGAUCCUCAUCAACACGUCAGGUCAAGGUGCAGCUUACGGAAUGGAAAGCAAUGGGCUACAAUUUCUAGUUUAGAACAAACGAAAGACUCUGUGAAACCUUAGUCAUGAAGGCGGAUUUAGUAGUAAAAGGAAAAUAGAGUGUUCCUUUUAACCUGGCUCUGGGACGCGUACACACCGCCCGUCACCCUCUUCGAUAGCACUUCACCCAGGUAUUUAACCCAAUACCGCAUCUUAGAAGAGGCAAGUCGUAACACGGUAAGUGUACUGGAAAGUGCACUUGGUCUACAACAAGAUGUAGCUUAAUUAAAGCCCUCCGCUUACACCGGAGAAAUGUCUGUUCAACUCGGACUAUCUUGAGCCUAAAAUCUAGCCCUACUCCACCCGCAUGAACACCUUAACCCUAUGCCCUCCAAACAAAACAUUUUAACAUUUUAGUACAGGCGAUCAAAAAAUUUCUAGGCGCUUCAGAUACAGUACCGCAAGGGAAUGAUGAAAUAAUAAUGAAAUAACUUUAAAGCCCAAAACAGCAGAGACUCACCCUCG
rnacentral:rRNA from 1 species